UCGUGAGACAGUUCGGUCCCUAUCUGCCGUGGGUGUAGGAGACUUGAGAAGAGUUGCCCCUAGUACGAGAGGACCGGGGUGAACGUUCCUCUGGUGUAUCUGUUGUCCUGCCAAGGGCAUCGCAGAUUAGCUACGAACGGAUCGGAUAACCGCUGAAGGCAUCUAAGCGGGAAGCCGGCCUCGAGAUGAACUCUCCCAUCUCCUAGAGAGAGUAAGGACCCUGGUAGACCACCAGGUUGAUAGGCCGGAUCUGGAAGCGCGGCAACGCGUGGAGGAGACCGGUACUAAUGGUCCGAGGGCUUGACGG
rnacentral:rRNA from 1 species